AAGGGGGAAAAGUUUCAAACAGGG
rnacentral:piRNA from 1 species